UAUUGCUGUGUAGGCAUUAAUGAUUAAGAGAAGAAGACUUCAUGGAAAUCGGGGUGUAACACCCACAGCUUUGCACUGAUAUGCACUGACAAGGUGGAAAUCAAGAAGGAAAAACUGAAAUCCAAGGAGAAGAUCACUAUAUGUAAAUCAGGAGAAAUCCCUCUGCCUAACCUUUUUCUCAAAGGCUGGUCUUUCUUACUGAAGUUAUUACAGAAUUUUUGAGAGGAAAUGGCUUUGCAGCAAGCUUUGUGUGCUCGAACAUAUAUACAUAUACUAUCUUAUUCUGUUCUAUUAAAAACUACUGACCUACUGUCACUUAUUUGCAUGAUGUUUAGCAUGAUAAGAUCCACUACUAAAACUGUUGCUAAAUCCAGCAAAUUAAACUGUAGAUUCUCAUCAGGUUUGAAAUUUACACAGAAGUCUUGAUCUUUAGGCUUAAACUCCAAGGUAAAGAUUAGUUAAAUGGCAAAAAGACUUUUUUGAAACAGUUAAAAUAACCUUGUGUAUAAAAAUAGUUUUUUCUUCUUUCUCUCCACAAAAAUGAAGGUGAAAAAAAGAGAAAGUGAAAGGAAGUGAAAAUGGACUCUUUUCCAGAUUAGGUGAAACAGAACAUGACAAUUGAAAUGAAUGAGAGGAAAAGACAGGGGCAGGCAGGCACAGUGGUUUGUGAACAAAAGGAAGGCAAAAACAAGAUUGCCUGUGUGCAGACCAAUAACCACCACUUUCAUCCCUGGAGCUGGAACUGAAUAAGCUGAGGAAUACCUUUGCAACCCUCCAUUAAAACAGCAGUGGACGAAGACUACAUAUACAUAGAGUAUAGGCUUUUUAUACUGCAAAACCCUUUGGUUUGGCAGUAAUUCUUUCUU
ensembl:lncRNA